UUAAAUGGCUGCAGUAAUUUGACUGUACAAAGGUAGCAUAAUCAUUAGUUUUUUAAUUAAAAGCUUGAAUGAAAGGUUGGACGAAGUAAAUUCUGUCUCUUUUUAAUAUAAUUAGAAUUUAAUUUUUAAGUUAAAAAGCUUAAAUUUUUAUAAAAGACGAGAAGACCCUAUAGAGUUUUAUAAUUUUUAGAAAAUAAUUAAUUUAGAUUUAUUAAUUUUAUUUUUUAUAUAUUAUUUUAUUGGGGUAAUAAUAAGAUUUAAUUAAUUCUUUUUUUUUAACCAUUAAUUUAUGAAGUAUAUGAUCCAUUAUUUAUGAUUAUAAG
rnacentral:rRNA from 1 species